CAGAGCUUUAGCUUUGCUCUCUUGGGUAGAUGAUUUUUGCUUCUUGUAUUAUGUCUUCGGCAAAGCUUCGGGCUGGAUUUUAAAUAGCAAAGGUGAUGAAAUUGUACAGAGUCAAGGGAGCUCUUGUUGGUGAGAUUGUAGCCUUUUUACAGCGUGAACCCAGGGAGUAGGUGGAAUCUGCGAAGCUGUUCUUCUAUAGGUCAUUUUGAACUUCAUUCAGGGUCAUGACCAGAACCUGUGAAGGGAUGAAGGAACUCAUCUCUUGACUCCGUUUGGUACAUGCUGAAAAGGUCAAACUUGUAAAUUUGAGACUUUUCAAGAAUGUGGAGCCUGCUCAAACAGCCCUUCUGCCCCCAUAAUGUUUCAGAAAACAUUUGAAGAAUAAGAAUAGUAUCUGGUGGUUGACAAGGCACGUGGGAACAGGAGGAGGAGAGAAGCGAGAUUUCUUUUCUUCUGGAUGUUAAUUUAGAAAUGAAUUGCUUGAGCUGUUCACUUCGGUCAAAAACAAUAGAGCUUCUCAUAUGUGGCAGCUUCCAAGUGCAGAAUUCCAAAAAGCUGAAAUUGUUUUCAAUCCUCCCAACAUUGGCACAGACUAUAAGGAAUUGAGAAUGCCAAUAAUUCUAGGGAAACAGAUGGACAUUUUAAAUCACAAACAUUUACGCACAACCCAAAAGCUGCAGUUUGGGACAAAAUAUGGAAAUAGAUCUUGGCCCUUCUUUGUGUCCUUCUAUCUUAAUGAGGGAACCUGCCAAGACCAUGGGAGAAGGGAGGGAGAAAGGAUCCUUUAGGUUGAAAGAUGAAAAAAAACUGGCAGAAAUGGGUCACCUGUGAAAUGAAAAGUUUCAGUGUUUUCAAGGUUUGCAAAAUGGAUCUCAGUUGACACAGCCCUCAUUUUGACUGUGUAAGAUGUCAUAAAAUUACUUCUGAACCACCUAUAGAGUGUUUUCGUUUGAAAGGGGAUGGUGAGAUCAUUUCCCAAACCAUACACACAAAAAUGUUAGAACUGAAGGGCACUUUAUAAAAAUUUAAUCCAACAGCCUAAAAAUUCAAAGCAGCAAAUAGGACAAUGUGAUUGACAGAUAUUAAGGAAUAGAAAAGAAAGUGGAGACCUGGAAGUCAAGAGAAGAUUUAAAAACAAGUCAUCCUGGAUUUAGAAGUCAAACUACCACACAGUUGCACUCAUCUCACAUGCUAGUAAAGUAAUGCUCAAAAUUCUCCAAGCCAGGCUGCGGCAAUACAUGAACUGUGAACUUCCAGAUGUUCAAGCUGGUUUUAGAAAAGGCAGAGGAACCAGAGAUCAAAUUGCCAACAUCCGCUGGAUCAUGGAAAAAGCAAGAGAGUUCCAGAAAAACAUCUAUUUCUGCUUUAUUGACUAUGCCAAAGCCCUGACUGUGUGGAUCACAAGAAACUGUGGAAAAUUCUGAGAGCGAUGGGAAUACCAGACCACUUGACCUUCCUCUUGAGAAACCUAUAUGCAGGUCAGGAAGCAACAGUUAGAACUGGACAUGGAACAACAGACUGGUUCCAAAUAGGAAAAGGAGUGCGUCAAGACUGUAUAUUGUCACCCUGCUUAUUUAACUUAUAUGCAGAGUACACCAUGAGAAAUGCUGGACUGGAAGAAGCACAAGCUAGAAUCAAGAUUGCCGGGAGAAACAUCAAUAACGUCAGAUAUGAGAUGACACCACCGUUAUGGCAGAAAGUGAAGAGGAACUAAAAAGCCUCUUGAUGAAAGUGAAAGUGGAGAGUGAAAAAGUUGGCUUAAAGCUCAACAUUCAGAAAAUGAAGAUAAUGGCAUCUGGUCCCAUCACUUCAUGGGAAAUAGAUGGGGAAACAGUGGAAACAGUGUCAGACUUUAUUUUGGUGGGCUCCAAAAUCACUGCAGAUGGUGACUUCAGCCAUGAAAUUAAAGACACUUACUCCUUGGAAGAAAAGUUAUGACCAACAUAGAUAACAUAUUGAACAGCAGAGACAUUACUUUGCCAACAAAAGUCCGCCUAGUCAAGGCUAUGGUUUUUCCUGUGGUCAUGUAUGGAUGUGAGAGUUGGGCUGUGAAGAAAGCUGAGCGCCGAAGAAUUGAUGCUUUUGAACUGUGGUGUUGGAGAAGACUCUUGCGAGUCCCUUGGACUGCAAGGAGAUCCAACCAGUCCAUCCUAAAGGAGAUCAGUCCUGAAUAUUCAUUGGAAGGAAUGAUGCUAAAGCUGAAACUCCAGUACUUUGGCCACCUCAUGGGAAGAGUUGACUCAUUGGAAAAAACUCUGAUGCUGGGAGGGAUUGGGGGCAGGAGGAGAAGGGGACGACCGAGGAUGAGAUGGCUGGAUGGCAUCACGGACUCGAUGGACAUGAGUCUGAGUGAACUCCAGGAGUUGGUGAUGGACAGGGAGGCCUGGUGUGCUGUGAUUCAUGGGGUCACAAAGAGUCGGACAUGACUGAGCAACUGAACUGAACUGAAGAUGAAGAUUUGGAAAACCUUUUUUGUGUUGUUUUUUAAAGGGAAGUAUUGGGACUUCCCUGGUGGUCCAGUAGUUAAGACUGUGCUUCCAAAUGCAGAGAGCAUGGGACUGAUUCCUGGCAAAGGAGCAAAGAUCUCACAUGCCGAGUGGCAUGGCAAAAAUAACACAGAAGCAUUACAUCACUUUACAUCAGUUAUUAAAAGUGGCCCAGAAUUUCAGUUCAGUUCAGCUCAGUCGCUCAGUCCGUCCAACUCUUUGCAACCCCAUGGACUGCACCACACCAGGCUUCCCUGUCCAUCACCAACUCCCAGAGCUUACUCAAACUCAUGUCCAUUGAGUCAGUGAUGCCAUCCAACCAUCUCAUCCUCUGCUGUCCCCUUCUUGUCCUGCCUUCAAUCUUACCCAGCAUCAGGGUCUUUUCAAAUGAAUCAGUUCUUUGCAUCAGGUGGCCAAAGUAUAGAGUUUCAGCUUCAACAUCAGUCCUUCCAAUGAAUAUUCAGGACUGAUUUCCUUUAGGAUAUACUGGUUGGAUCUCCUUGCAGUCCAAGGGACUCUCAAUAGUCUUCUCCAACAUCACAGUUCAAAGGCAUCAAUUCAGAAUUUCAGGUAGUUGUUAAAGCAAUACUCAGUAGGAAAGAAUUGGAAGUAUCUGUAUUACACAUUUGAUCCAGUUAUAUUUUAGAUACUUUCUCUGCAAUGUCAUUGGAAGGUACUAAAGAUGUCAUUUUGAUGAUUUAGCUUUGCUAUUAAUAUAUAAAUUUAAUAAUCUCGGUAUAUAUAUAUUGUUUUACAUUCUUCUGAAUUGAAAAAUGUGUCUUGAGUAAUUACCAUGAUAUGUUUAAGUAUUUUCACAUUCACCUCUGAAUUGUAAGGAGAUAAAGUAUCAAAGGUGUAAUAACCAACAUCCCUGGUCUGGAAUACUUCUAUAAAUACAGCAGUUUAUAACUGA